GGAAGGGGGCAUGUGUCUGGGAGGAUGAGAAAUCAUUCGCUAAGUAAGAAGCUCACUGAGUUUAAAUCAAAACCCAGCACCUUUGGUUUUAGACAAACUUUUAAGUCUUACAGUUCCUGUUUUCCUGUGUGCAAAUACCCCUAGGAAAGAGUAGAAGCAGAACUGAAUUUUGCUGCUUUGUUUCUUUCUUAGAGUAAAUUCUACUGUGUCUCCUCCAGCCCUGGCCAAACUUCAAAUAUGAGGAAAAUAAACACUGUCAUAUAUCAGCCAGCCAGUUCCCCGUGACUCCUGCCUGCCAGCCCCUGCAAAGGCAGGUCUGGCGCUGCAUCCUGUGGUAACUACCUACGAAGCCAGCUGAACUCUUUUUCCCCUAAACUUCAGAAAGUGCCAGAAUCACCCCGGAGCACCUGAGUGCGUGUCCUGUGAAGACAGCAAGGAAAUGGGAGAGGAUUUGAAGGAUCUGCUUAAGAGCGGCUUUGAAGACCUCCAACAGGGUGAGAGCCAGCUCAGCACAGAGCCAGCCCAAAGAGGGAACAUUUUUCUAGUAGGUCUAUAGUACACUGGAAUGGAGUUUUGCAUAUUGUGUGGAGUGCAGACCCAGUUUUGCACACGUAGAAAUCCUAUUGACCUAGCACAUCAAUUUGGAAGAAGGACCAACUGCGUUGUACUACAGGAUCGCUUUUGUGAAGGAUCAGGUGGUUUUGAUGCUGGUUGUGGUAACAACGUGCUGCAAUGUGCUGUCUCCUAUGGGCUGGAAUGGAAGAGGCCUCAUGAAACAUCUUGCUCCCCAGUGUUGUGAAUUAUGAAAAUUAAGCCUUCCUGUCCUCUUCAGUAUGCAUGGUGGAGCUGAACUGUGAACUUUCCCUUCACUGACCAUUUACACUGUGAGACCAUGCCAACCAUCCAUCGGUGUGGACUCACACGCCUUCCCUACACAGAGCUUAGUUGCUGAAAUUUAGACAGCCGCGCCCAGGGACUUCAGCUCUGACAUUAAGGUGUGUGUUUUAGCCUCGCCAAAGGGGAGCAAGAGGAUUUCUCCAUCAAACAAAGAGGUCAGCUCUCCAAAGCAUCUAUAAAACCAAAGUCAAGCUUGCUAUUUUGCUGUUCUGUUUAGCCAAGACCUAUAUGUUCUUUCAGUUCCCACCAGGAAACACUGUGUUUCUGGGAAAUUGCACCAUGGAUUCUGUUGACUGCCGCAGUUUCUCUGCCUUAAUGUCCUGAAGGAAUACGUUCUUCACCAGAGAUCCACAGAAGGACUUCAGAUGCCUUAGGAAAUGCUAUGCAAAGUCUGUGGCCAUAAUAUGCAGUCUUUGGAGAGAGAGUCUGGAAUUUUUUCAGUGCCAGUUCCUCUGCCUCCCACUGAAGCACAGAUGUAUCAACAAAAAUAUUAAAAUGCACAAAUCUUACUCCCUAAAGCAAAGUGUGUGGUUUGCUUCUGAUGCUUGUGACACUGGUAUACCUGGUGAGUGGAAGGACUGAUGCUGUGACCAUGUGUUGGUGGCUGCAUCUGCCCUUACGCCCUGCAAUUAAAACUGUGAACUUCAA